CACCCACCACCAGAACUCUGUCAUGGUUAUCCUAUGAACAAAGCGUGUGUGAUACUACUUUGCCAGAAUGGGGUCAGUGUUUCGAUGGGGAGCUCUGUUUCUCAGGCAGAGCAAUCUGUUAACGUGUAAUUUGAGAUGAAUGCUGUUGCUAACAGCAUAGCAAAGGCUCUGUGAUUUCCCAUGCAGGUUCAUCCAUUGGCCCCUCUUGGCCGGUCUGGGGAACAGAAUUGAGGCUCUCCUGUAUUUUUGCAUCUUCGUCCGCCAAUAGCUCCUCUUAAGCAAUGCCAGUCUGUUUCCACUGGCCGUUCCGCGUCUGUCCCACCUGGUUAGCCAAUGAGGAGGGAGGGUCAUCUAGAUCUCUAAGAGAGCUUUAAAAACAUGUUUUUUAAUUACAUGUUGAAUUUCUGGGAAUUCCUCUUGUGGCUUUGUGGGUUGAAAACUCGACUGAUAUCCAUGAGGAUGCUGGUUGGAUCCCUAGCUUCACUCAGUGGGUUAAGAAUCCAGUGUUGCCAUGAGCUGUGACAUAAAUUGCAGAUGCAGCUUGGAUCCGGCAUUGCUAUGGCUGUGGUGUAGGCCUGCAGCUGCAGCUCCAGUUAGACCCCUACCCCAGGAACUUGCAUAUGCCACAACUGUGGCCCCCCCAAAAAAGGUGUUGAAUCUCUUAGCAAGUAGGCACAGUAGCCCACCUUGGUGCUUUUGCCUUUUGCUGGCACACUUCCUUUUAAAAUACCACCUCUUUUAGGAUCUUCAAUAAAAAACCAUUUCCUUUGGAGUUCCCUUGUGGUGCAGCAGGUUAAGGAUCUGGUGUUGUCACUGUCAAGUUCAGGUCUCUGCUGUGGUGCAAGUUCAAUCCCUGGCCUGGGAACCUCUGCAUGCCUUGGAUGCAGCCUAAAACAAACAAGCAAACAAAAAACCCCAACAUUUCCUUUGCUCCUUUUGGAACCCGUAUCUAACCUUGAUCCUUUGUUUUGGAAGAUAAUAGUAUACUUUCUGCAUAAAACCAGGAACACACCACUCUUACUUUCUUUCCCUCCCAGUCCGUUGUUUCAGCAAAAUGAUUCCAUUUCACUUUAACAAAAAGAUUCUCUUUCUAGCUUAAAAUAUUCCGGAUGUGCUUUAACUUGCCUUGGGGUCAUAGCACAUGUCUUCCAGGACUGAUGAGUCUUGUCAGUUGCCCCAGGGUGAGAACUUUAAUAAGCAAAUUGCACACACCUGGCUUUGCAAAAUAUUGGCCUAAUGGGACACCUAGGUGAAAGUCAGUACUUCCACUCCCCACGUACACACCCUUCCUCCGCACCCCUUUUAAAAGGGAACCCUCAGAAAUUGCUGCCUCUCCAUUUAUCUCUUAAAACUUGCCUGUCUCUUUGCACCCCUGAUGUGAUCGUUAACAGGCUCAGGUUGUUGAUGUCCCUGCUGCCUUCUUUUGGAUUUGAAAGUCAUGCCAGUGAUGAGAUGUGGGACAUGGACAGGGGAGUCUGGUUAAAAGGGCACAGGGCUGGCAGACUCUUUGUUAGGCUGUGCAGCACCCCCUGCCCGGCUCUUUGAUUUGUGGCUGCCCUGGGUGUUUGCACAACCUUUCCCGUUCAGACACUUCUUAGUUGAAGAGACCGCCUGGUUCCCUGAUUUUGAAGGCUGGACACCAGACCUACUGGUCUUUCACUCUUAUUCAUUCAGUGGUUCGUUCAGACAUUGUUUGUGCUAAACAUUUGUGCUAAACAUUGGAGAUUUACAGAAAGACCAGAUCCUGUCUUCCAGAAGCUCAUAAUCUUGUGUUUUUAUCUCCAGUGGUUGGCAGGUGUGACGCAUGGCCACACCUCACAUGGUGCACAGUCAUGCAUUUUCUUUGGCUUCCGUGCUCUCUCCUACUUGCUGAAGAUCAGCUCCCCCAAAUAAAGCUGUUGGCUGUCUUUCUUGUCAUCCAUUCUUUCGGACACCUCAGGGGACCCAGCUGCACAGAUUAAGAGGCCACCAGUGGCAAUUGGUGUAUAUUCAGACCAGCAUUUCCUUGAAUGCUUUAUGCUUGAGACUGGAUUCCACAUUGACCACAUUCCUUCUAUGCCUACAGGAUUCUGACUCUGCUUUGUAUGCAGUGGCUACACACACACACACACACACACACACACACACACACACCCCUCCUGGAUUGACAUUCUGCUAAAAGUUGAUGAAAAUCUGGUGAUAGCAUGUAGCUCUUUAGGCAGUAAAAACCAUAUUUAAGACUUUACUGGCUUUGACUAGACUAUGGGUGGCCUCGCUCUUCACAUCUGCUGUCAGCCUGUGUUCGGCCGUCAUUCACACAUACAUACCCUAGAAAUUCCAGUCAUCAAACAGCAACGCCUGAAGUACCUCUUCCAGGAAGACUCAGUCCUCUAGUCUCCGGGUUUGGAAGUAUCCCAAACAUCUUUAGGAAAAUUCUUUCAUCUACUUCUCCGUCCCCUUUUGGGUAUAUAAAAAGUUAGCAUACUGCACAAUACGUGAAACGGCUCUCUCAACUAUCCUACCUUCUGCAGUUCUCCUUCUGUGUCCAUAACCACAGUUUAUACAUGGGUUUUAUUAUGCAGUUAGGCUCAGCGCCAUUUGUGAUGAUAAAGAGUUGAGGCUUGUCCCCUCUCACGUGGACACGCUCCGGCUUACCUUCAUCGUGUGAGUGAAUGUCUCAGGUUGGCCCAGUGGGUCCAGGUCAGAGGGCAUGUGCUUAGCUGUGGAAUUCCAGAGGUCACUCCCUGCCUUUGUCUCCUCCACCAAAGCUCAUGUCACUUGCAUCAUGCUUUGACUUGAAACAAUAUUGCAUCGGAGGGAGUGUGCAUAAUGGGCUGUGUUGUCCAAUUAUCAUGAGAUUACCGAAUACUUUUGCCUGGAAACUUGCCAGCAAGAGUGAACAAAGAGAUGCCCCAAGCCACUUUCUCAGCUUUAUUCCUCAAGACUAAAUGGCAUUCCCAGUACCCUCUGUACCUUUCUGAUUGAGUAAAUGGAUAAGUCAGGCUUUUACUUAUUUUUUUAUUUUUGGACAAAGAAUGUGGCUAGGACCGGACAUCAAGAUUUUUUUAAGCUACUUUGAUGAGAAUGAGUAAAAAGCCAAAAGGUGGAACAGAGAAUACACCAGCUGGAAAUGGAGAUGAUGGAUUUCUAGGAAGUGGGAGAUUGAGAUAUUUACAGUAAUGAACAAAAGUUCUUCCUGGAAUAAAAGUACUGAAGAAGUAACAAAAAGAAGC
rnacentral:lncRNA from 1 species